GGCUCGUGUGCCUGCCCCCGCCCUGGCCCCCAGUGCCCACCCAGUCGGCCUGGUACAGCCAUCAUCAAGGUGAUCCUAAUUUUCAAUAACCACGGGAAACCGCGGCUCUCCAAGUUCUACCAGCCCUACAGUGAAGAUACACAACAGCAAAUCAUCAGGGAGACUUUCCAUUUGGUAUCUAAGAGAGAUGAAAAUGUUUGUAAUUUCCUAGAAGGAGGAUUAUUAAUUGGAGGAUCUGACAACAAACUGAUUUAUAGACAUUAUGCAACGUUAUAUUUUUUCUUCUGUGUGGAUUCUUCAGAAAGUGAAGUUGGCAUUUUAGAUCUAAUUUAAGUAUUUGUGGAAACAUUAGACAAACGUAUUGAAAAUGUCUGUGAACUGGAUUUGAUUUUCCAUGUAGACAAGGUUCACAAUAUUCUCGCAGAAAUGGUGAUGGGGGGAAUGGUAUUGGAGACAAACAUUAAUGAGAUUGCUACACAAAUUGAUGCACAAAAUAAGCUGGAAAAAUCUGAGGCUGGCUUAGCGGGAGCUCCAGCCCGUGCUGUAUCAGCUGUAAAGAAUAUGAAUCUUCCUGAGAUCCCAAGAAAUAUUAACAUUGGUGACAUCAGUAUAAAAGUGCCAAACCUGCCCUCUUUUAAAUAAAAAUUUUUAAAGGCUACUCCCAGGUAAAAUCGAGGGGGA